GGCAAGGGCGCAUCUACACAUGCAGUCGUAGCGAAGUGUGAUCUACGGAGCUUGCUCUUAUGAAGUUAGCGGCGGACGGGUGAGUAACACGUGGGUAACCUGCCCAUAAGACUGGGAUAACUCCGGGAAACCGGGGCUAAUACCGGAUAACAUUUUGAACCGCAUGGUUCGAAAUUGAAAGGCGGCUUCGGCUGUCACUUAUGGAUGGACCCGCGUCGCAUUAGCUAGUUGGUGAGGUAACGGCUCACCAAGGCAACGAUGCGUAGCCGACCUGAGAGGGUGAUCGGCCACACUGGGACUGAGACACGGCCCAGACUCCUACGGGAGGCAGCAGUAGGGAAUCUUCCGCAAUGGACGAAAGUCUGACGGAGCAACGCCGCGUGAGUGAUGAAGGCUUUCGGGUCGUAAAACUCUGUUGUUAGGGAAGAACAAGUGCUAGUUGAAUAAGCUGGCACCUUGACGGUACCUAACCAGAAAGCCACGGCUAACUACGUGCCAGCAGCCGCGGUAAUACGUAGGUGGCAAGCGUUAUCCGGAAUUAUUGGGCGUAAAGCGCGCGCAGGUGGUUUCUUAAGUCUGAUGUGAAAGCCCACGGCUCAACCGUGGAGGGUCAUUGGAAACUGGGAGACUUGAGUGCAGAAGAGGAAAGUGGAAUUCCAUGUGUAGCGGUGAAAUGCGUAGAGAUAUGGAGGAACACCAGUGGCGAAGGCGACUUUCUGGUCUGUAACUGACACUGAGGCGCGAAAGCGUGGGGAGCAAACAGGAUUAGAUACCCUGGUAGUCCACGCCGUAAACGAUGAGUGCUAAGUGUUAGAGGGUUUCCGCCCUUUAGUGCUGAAGUUAACGCAUUAAGCACUCCGCCUGGGGGAGUACGGCCGCAAGGCUGAAACUCAAAGGAAUUGACGGGGGCCCGCACAAGCGGUGGAACCAUGUGGUUUAAUUCGAAGCAACGCGAAGAACCUUACCAGGUCUUGACAUCCUCUGAAAACCCUAGAGAUAGGGCUUCUCCUUCGGGAGCAGAGUGACAGGUGGUUGCAUGGUUGUCGUCAGCUCGUGUCGUGAGAAGUUUGGGUUAAGUCCCGCAACGAGCGCAACCCUUGAUCUUAGUUGCCAUCAUUAAGUUGGGCACUCUAAGGUGACUGCCGGUGACAAACCGGAGGAAAGGGUGGGGGAAUAACGUCAAAUCAUCAUGGCCCCUUAUGAACCUGGGCUACACACCUGGCUACAAUGGGACGGUACAAAAAACUGCCAAAACCGCCGGGGGGGAGCUAAUCUCCUAAAAACCGUUUUUAAUUUUGGAAUUGUAGGCGGCCACUCCCCCAACUGAAGCCUGGAAACCCUUUUAAUCCCGGAUAAACAAGGCCGCCGGUAAAAAAUUUCCCGGGCUUUGUAACACCGCCCGGUCAACACCAAGAUUUUUAAACCCCCAAACCCGGGGGGAACCUCU
rnacentral:rRNA from 1 species